CUACGUGCCAGCAGCCGCGGUAAUACGGAAGGUCCAGGCGUUAUCCGGAUUUAUUGGGUUUAAAGGGAGCGUAGGCGGACUGUUAAGUCAGCGGUGAAAUCUAGGAGCUUAACUCCUAAAUUGCCAUUGAUACUGGCGGGCUUGAGUGUAGAUGAGGUAGGCGGAAUGCGUGGUGUAGCGGUGGAAUGCAUAGAUAUCACGCAGAACUCCGAUUGCGAAGGCAGCUUACUAAGGUACAACUGACGCUGAAGCACGAAAGCGUGGGUAUCAAACAGGAUUAGAUACCCUGGUAGUCCACGCAGUAAACGAUGAUAACUGGGCGUAUGCGAUAUACAGUAUGCUCCUAAGCGAAAGCGUUAAGUUAUCCACCUGGGGAGUACGCCGGCAACGGUGAAACUCAAAGGAAUUGACGGGGGCCCGCACAAGCGGAGGAACAUGUGGUUUAAUUCGAUGAUACGCGAGGAACCUUACCCGGGAUUGAA
rnacentral:rRNA from 1 species